rnacentral:precursor_RNA from 1 species
CACUCUAAGUAUGAACGCCAAGCAUAUUAAAAAGAGUUUGGUGUUCUACCUUACAGU